UACGAAGGGGGCUAGCGUUGUUCGGAAUCACUGGGCGUAAAGCGCACGUAGGCGGAUCUUUAAGUCAGGGGUGAAAUCCCGAGGCUCAACCUCGGAACUGCCUUUGAUACUGGGGAUCUCGAGUCCGGGAGAGGUGAGUGGAACUGCGAGUGUAGAGGUGAAAUUCGUAGAUAUUCGCAAGAACACCAGUGGCGAAGGCGGCUCACUGGCCCGGAACUGACGCUGAGGUGCGAAAGCGUGGGGAG
rnacentral:rRNA from 1 species